GACGAACGCUGGCGGCGUGCUUAACACAUGCAAGUCGAACGGAAAGGCCCUGCUUUUGUGGGGUGCUCGAGUGGCGAACGGGUGUGUAACACGUGAGUAUCCUGCCCUUGACUUUGGGAUAACUUCAGGAAACUGGGGCUAAUACCGGAUAGGAGCUCCUGCUGCAUGGUGGGGGUUGGAAAGUUUCGGCGGUUGGGGCUGGUCUCGCGGCUUAUCCGCUUGUUGGUGGGGUAGUGGCUUACCAAGGCUUUGACGGGUAGCCGGCCUGAGAGGUUGACCGGCGACAUGGGGCCUGAGGUAGGCACCAGUCUCCUACGUGAGGCAGCGGUGGGAAAUAUUGCACAGUGGGCGGAAGCCUGAGGCGGCAACGCCGGGUGCGGGAUGACGUCCUUCGAGUGAUAAACCGCUUUCGCCUGUGACGAAGCGGGAGUGACGGUAAUGGGUAAAGAAGCACCGGCUAACUACGUG
rnacentral:rRNA from 1 species